rnacentral:rRNA from 1 species
GGAGGGUGCGAGCGUUAAUCGGAAUGACUGGGCGUAAAGGGCAUGUAGGCGGAUAAUUAAGUUAGGUGUGAAAGCCCUAGGCUCAACCUAGGAAUUGCACUUAAGACUGGUUAGCUAGAGUAUUGUAGAGGAAGGUAGAAUUCCACGUGUAGCGGUGAAAUGCGUAGAGAUGUGGAGGAAUACCGCUGGCGAAGGCGGCCUUCUGGACAGAUACUGACGCUGAGAUGCGAAAGCGUGGGGAGCAAACAGGAUUAGAUACCCUGGUAGUCCACGCUGUAAACGAUGUCGAUUUGGAGUUUGUUGCCUAGAGUGAUGGGCUCCGAAGCUAACGCGAUAAAUCGACCGCCUGGGGAGUACGGCCGCAAGGUUA